CAAAGGAGCAAUCCGCUGAAAGAUGGGCUCGCGUCCGAUUAGAUAGUUGGGGGGGUAACGGCCCACCAAGUCGACGAUCGGUAGCCGGACUGAGAGGUUGAACGGCCACAUUGGGACUGAGACACGGCCCAGACUCCUACGGGAGGCAGCAGUGAGGGAUAUUGGUCAAUGGGGGAAACCCUGAACCAGCAACGCCGCGUGAGGGAAGACGGUUUUCGGAUUGUAAACCUCUGUCCUCUGUGAAGAUAAUGACGGUAGCAGAGGAGGAAGCUCCGGCUAACUACGUGCCAGCAGCCGCGGUAAUACGUAGGGAGCGAGCGUUGUCCGGAUUUACUGGGUGUAAAGGGUGCGUAGGCGGGUAAGCAAGUCAGAAGUGAAAUCCAUGGGCUUAACCCAUGAACUGCUUUUGAAACUGUUUAUCUUGAGUGAAGUAGAGGUAGGCGGAAUUCCCGGUGUAGCGGUGAAAUGCGUAGAGAUCGGGAGGAACACCAGUGGCGAAGGCGGCCUACUGGGCUUUAACUGACGCUGAAGCACGAAAGCGUGGGUAGCAAACAGGAUUAGAUACCCUGGUAGUCCAUGCCGUAAACGAUGAUUACUAGGUGUGGGGGGACUGACCCC
rnacentral:rRNA from 1 species